rnacentral:rRNA from 1 species
UAGAGGAAGUAAAAGUCGUAACAAGGUCUCCGUUGGUGAACCAGCGGAGGGAUCAUUACAGAGUCGUAAAACACUCCCAAACCCAUGUGAACUUACCAUUGUUGCCUCGGCGGCACUACCCUGUAGCCAGCUACCCUGUAGCGACCUACCCUGUAGCCCGCCGGUGGACCAUUAAACUCUUGUUAUUCUAUGGAUAUCUGAGCGUCUUAUUUAAUAAGUUAAAACUUUCAACAACGGAUCUCUUGGUUCUGGCAUCGAUGAAGAACGCAGCGAAAUGCGAUACGUAAUGUGAAUUGCAGAAUUCAGUGAAUCAUCGAAUCUUUGAACGCACAUUGCGCCCAUUAGUAUUCUAUUGGGCAUGCCUGUUCGAGCGUCAUUUUGACCACUUAAGCCUGGCUUAGUGUUGGGAAUCUACGUCUGUAGUUCCUUAAAACCAGUGGCGGAGCCGCAGUGGCCUCUGAGCGUAGUAAUUUUUUCUCGCUUUGGAAGGUUCUGUAGUUUUUGCCAUAAAACCCCCAAUUUUUUAAGGUUGACCUCGGAUCAGGUAGGAAUACCCGCUGAACUUAAGCAUAUCA